CCUACGGGCGGCAGCAGUGAGGAAUAUUGGUCAAUGGACGAGAGUCUGAACCAGCCAAGUAGCGUGAAGGAUGACUGCCCUAUGGGUUGUAAACUUCUUUUAUAUGGGAAUAAAAUGUUCCACGUGUGGGAUUUUGUAUGUACCAUAUGAAUAAGGAUCGGCCAACUCCGUGCCAGCAGCCGCGGUAAUACGGAGGAUCCGAGCGUUAUCCGGAUUUAUUGGGUUUAAAGGGAGCGUAGGUGGAUUGUUAAGUCAGUUGUGAAAGUUUGCGGCUCAACCGUAAAAUUGCAGUUGAAACUGGCAGUCUUGAGUACAGUAGAGGUGGGCGGAAUUGGUGGUGUAGCGGUGGAAUGCUUAGAUAUCACGAAGAACUCCGAUUGCGAAGGCAGCUCACUGGACUGCAACUGACACUGAGGCUCGAAAGUGUGGGUAUCAAACAGGAUUAGAUACCCGUGUAGUC
rnacentral:rRNA from 1 species